GAUAGCUGUUUUAAAGGGGGGUGGGGGAUUGUGGUCAUCUUAAUUGGUGUUGCUCCAAGGUUGGUGUUAGAUAUGCUCUCUAGGCUUUGUUGAGAACCAGCUCUCAGGAAUCAGUGAGGAGUUGUGUUGGUGUUCAGCACCUGAUCCUACAUCUCAUCUGAAGGUCUGGAGGCUCACUUGCUACCAGCCAAAGCACCCACAGCAGUAACUGAGGAUACUGGGGGGAAAAAAUUCUCCCCAAGAGCAGUCAGUCAUUGGAACUGCCCAAGCAGGUGUGGGAGUCACCAUCCCUGGAGGUGUUAUGAAAAGGAUAGGUGUCACAUUGAGAGGAUUUCAAAGAUGAGGCAGAGGAAGGCAUUCUGAAGAACAAAGAUCACCAUUUCAGUAGUGCUCUGGAAAGGAAAUGGGGGGGGGUGUUGGGAAUGCCAGGCUGAUUUGCAACACAAAUCUAUGUUUUGCAUCUGAUUAUUGUAGGCUUUGUUCUGAGGAUGGGUUAUCAUAGCCAAAGGAGCUGGAUGCCCAUACUGGCCUCUCCUGGUACUCUGUGUUGGUAACAAAUCCUAUGAAACUUCCAAAAAUGAGCAAGUUAAUGUCAUGCCCUGUGUUUCUGUUGUCUCGUUGCAGUGGACAAAGUAAUUUCCCUUCAGGCAGAUUCUGCUUUUGUUCCGUCUGUGAUGGCUUGGAGCAGUAACUGCUUUCAAGGAUGGGACAGAAAUAGGGACAUCCGAGGGUCUCCCACCACAAUGCCGUCUCAGGAUGCACCGUCACAACUCAAACCAACUGUUUUCUCCUGAAUCUCGAGCAAAGCAACUUGCCUUUGCGACACUGUCCCCUCUCUUGACUUGAACACAGGCCUCCCAGCUGCAAAUUCAAUACCGAGCGCCUGCUUUCUAUUGAAAGCUGCUUAAUUGGCUGCUAUUCUUGCUUCUCCAGCUGAAUUUGCAUUAAAGAAAGACCUGCGAUCUUUGGCAUUCCCCAUGCGAAGCUCCGUAUUUAGCGUAUGGAGCUGGCAGUUCUCUUAACGCCCACAUCUGUCUCUGCUUGCCACAGCUGAUUUAUGUUUAAUAUCUUGAAGGCAUGUGGUGCCAGUCCCAUGUUGAGCUCUGGAUUGUGGUGGUCUGUCUGUAUUUGUUGAAAUUGGGCCCAAAGAAGCUGGCUUGGAGCAGAGACUGCGAGGAAUGCGAGCCAGUGGCCGUCCAGACAGCUCUGUCAGCAAGCUCAGGAAACUGGCUGAAAAAUACUGGGAAGAGGCCCAGGUUUUAAACAACCUGUGGAGCUCUCAUGAGAACACUGUUUUAAAACAGAAAGUUGAGUGAUACUCUUAAUUACAGAUUUUAAAAAAUGAAGGUUAAUGAUGUCCUUGCCCUUGCAGAAUGCGAGGCAUGUUCCUCAAAUUGUGGUCAUCAAGCAAGCAGUUUUGUCUUCUUGCAUGAAGAGCACGUUUUCAUGUGCUGCUUUAAUCCAUUUUCUUCCCAGGCAGAGAUAAAGAUCAGGAGGCUCUUGGGGUCCCACAGCCACGGUUUGACCUGUAACUCUGUAGCAACGCUGGCCAUAUAAAGAAAUCUUUGGCGUAAGGUUGAUACUUGUGUGCCUCAGCAGACAAUGGUGGGUUUUGCAUGUUAAAGCUGUAAUUCCACAAAAUAAAAAGCUAUCAGCACCAA